rnacentral:rRNA from 1 species
GACGAACGCUGGCGGCGUGCUUAACACAUGCCAGUCGAACGGAAAGGCCCUGCUUUUGUGGGGUGCUCGAGUGGCGAACGGGUGAGUAACACGUGAGUAACCUGCCCUUGACUUUGGGAUAACUUCAGGAAACUGGGGCUAAUACCGGAUAGGAGCUCCUGCUGCAUGGUGGGGGUUGGAAAGUUUCGGCGGUUGGGGAUGGACUCGCGGCUUAUCAGCUUGUUGGUGGGGUAGUGGCUUACCAAGGCUUUGACGGGUAGCCGGCCUGAGAGGGUGACCGGCCACAUUGGGACUGAGAUACGGCCCAGACUCCUACGAGAGGCAGCAGUGGGGAAUAUUGCACAAUGGGCGGAAGCCUGAUGCAGCAACGCCGCGUGCGGGAUGACGGCCUUCGGGUUGUAAACCGCUUUCGCCUGUGACGAAGCGUGAGUGACGGUAAUGGGUAAAGAAGCACCGGCUAACUACGUG